ensembl:snRNA U1 U1 spliceosomal RNA
AUACUUACCUGGCAGGGGCGACACCAUGAUCACAAUGGUGGUUCACCCAGGCCGAGGCUCGGCCAUUGCACUUCGGCUGUGCUGACCCUUGCUAAUUCCCCAAAUGCGGAGGUUAGGGAACCAGCCUUGUGACUGGAAGGUUUGAUCCCCUGA